AUUCUGAGCUUCUGGGAGUUAAGACCCCAACAUGUAAAUCUGGAGGGAUGCAAUUCAACACGUAAUAUUCCCUAACACAAUAUUUCCAUAACAGUCUGUAGCGUCUUCUUCAGGCUAAGGGAUUGGGGCCUCAUCUAUCAGAGUUGUAAUAAGGAACAAAGGUUGUUGAAGGUAAGAUGAGACUCAAGAUUCAAUAAUAUGUUCAAACUGCAGAAUCAAAGAGUAUAUUGAGGCCAAAUAUCUAAAAAAGAAAGUUUGAUGGAUUGCUAAAGUAAGAGGAUCAGAAGGAAGUAUUAAAACUAAGAUAAGGAUACAGAAAGUUGCAAUACUGGAUUUGACAUAAAUGUACAAAAAACAGGGAAGGUUAAAUAAAUCGUGAUACAACCAUCAAAAUUAAAGAUUUGGUAUCCAAAGGGCAAUGUAACCCAAAAAUGUGAACAACUGGUAUAUAUGGAGCAUCAGGAAGAGUAGCUAAUGGAUGUGGAGCUUAAUACCAAGGCGAUGGGUUGAUUUGUGCAGCAAACCACCAUGGUUCACGUUUACCUGUGUAGCAUACCUGUACAUCCUGCACAUAUACCCGAGCUUAAAAGUUGAAGGAAAA
rnacentral:lncRNA from 1 species